CUGGCUAACAGCAUCCCCGAGUUUAGGCAGAGUCCCCCAGACUGAACACUAACCAGUGGGUCACAGAUAGGAGCGGGAGUGGUGUUCAUAGCUCCAAGGUCAGACCUGUAAGAUCACACCAGUUCUUCAUGGCCCUUCUCUCUCCCUCUGCAGGCUACAGGACAUCUGAGUGAUUCUAAAGCCACAUUAGAGAUGAGAAGACCGCAACUUAAAAGGAGCCGAGGUCCUUGAAUGCAGUUGAGAGCCCCAGUUGCCUGGAUUGAUGAUCUGAAUGAGCAGUCACGCAGUCCUGUGUGAGGACACUGAGGUCUUAGGUUAGCUGGUCAUAGCCUGAAGCUACGACGACUACCGCAAUUGAAUCCUGCAAGGACUGAAUCUGACCCUGAAACCUUCCCACAGCCAGCUCCUUUUAUGAGCUAAUCCAACAAAAGGAUAGCAGAAGCCUGGCCAGGAUCUACACUGCUGAAGAAAGUAAACACCGGCAAUGGUUACACCCGAGACGUGGAGAAACCUCCCUGCCAGGCCAGCCUGGAACACCUGGAACAGAAUCUCAGGGUGGGAAGGGCAGACACUGGUCUUCUGUAACAGCUCUCCGAGGAACCGCAGAGGCGUGAGUCACUGUUAGCAGAGGCUGUCUCUGCCUGGUGGGACUGCUGGUGUUUUUAUUUUCUUCUCUUUCCUUAUCUUUCCAUUCUCCCCCUGUAAGCCCAUGUAUUGCUUUGUUUGAUAAGGGAAAAGAAUUCACCAUCAAAGCGCAGGAAGGGAAGCGGGUGCGACGCGAACCAUUUACAACAUCUGCCAGCCCCUUAGAAGACGACAUGGGUACAAAUGUGCCUGCUGCACUGCUGGAAUCGGAAUGCAGCAGGGAUGAGGAGGAGGUUACAGACACAGUGCGCACUAAGAACCAGUCUCCACCAACAGCACAGUAAGGUGGCCAGCCCUAAAAUACUGGGAUCCUUCUGGAAGUGUCACAACCUCCCAGAUACUUAAAACCUAGCUGUCGCUGUCAGCUAUCCUCAGACUGUGACCUAAAGAAAACAUGUGCAAAUGCCCCGCCGUCCAGACUCUAGCUGCAGAUGAAGGAGGGGCCAGUGGCUACUUUGUAUACAAAUCUAUGUCGAUUUAUAAAGAGAACUUGGAAAUAAUCUCCAUGCUCCCUCUGGAGUAAAACCUAGUCAGGCAUCUAUGUUAGCGGCAGAGUAGGAGGAGGGUGGAGUGGGAAAGCCCACCCAUAAUGUUUGCAGAGCCUCAAGUGAAAGCUCAGUUGGAGCCCCCAUAACAUUUAUCUAUGAACAAACUGAUAAAUGUGUCCCUGCUCCCUAUUUUAAUGGGUUCAUUAAGACUAAGUGGAAAUAGGUCAGGGCUCUCUAGAACAGUGGUUCUCAACCUGCAUAAUGCUGUGGCCCUUGAAUACAGUUCCUCAUGGUGUGGUGAUCCUCAACCACAAAAUCAUAGUUUUUGUUGCUACUUCAUUAUUGUAAUUUUGCUACUGUUAUGAAUCGUAAUGUAAACAUCUGGUGUGCAGGAUGUCUGAUAUGGGACCCUGUGAAAGGGUCAUUUGAUCUCCAAAAGAUUGAGCCCCACAGAUUGAGAACUGCUGCUCUAGAGGACCUGAACUGAUAGAAUGAACAUAUAUUAAGAAGGGAUUGAUUUAUAACAAUAUAAUCUGGGCUGUUGUCACACUCGAAAGACUGAGAAGCCAAGAGCCGCUCAGCCCACAAGGUUGAAUGUCUUAGCAGUCCCAGGCUGGCCCAGAAGGCCUGAGGGAUUCCUGGAAAGCUAUUGGUCUUCAGUUCUCUUUGGAAGACUGAAAAAGAUGGGUUCUGAAGACAACCAAGAAUGUCUGCAGCAGCGGCAGCAGCAGCAACAGAGUAGAUGAACUCGCCAGCACAACACAAGGCAAAAGGCUAAAACGCAGAACCCCCUUGUUGCCACUGCCACCAGAAGGCACUGUGAACGUAUAGCGGGUCUAUACACAUGCGACGAUGUAACCAAGAAAGUCCUUUAUGAGCUAGAACAUUUCGUAUUCAAUCUGCUAAACCAGCUGCAGAGCCAUAACUUUGAGGAGUUUUGGAAUUCCUUGAUGCUGCAUGAAAUAAAUGUCAGUUACGCACAUUUCAUGGUAUGAAAUAUGAAAUGCUCAUUACUAAAACCUUAUUAUCUAAGGUAAUUCAUGCGCCUUUCAGAAAUUUACUAUGUGUUUAGAGGAAUUAUGAGUUGAUGGAAUUUUUUUAAAAAAAUAUAAUUAAGAGUAUUUGUGUGUCUUGUUCGUUUAUGAAUAAUUGGACUAUACGAUUUAAAUAUACAGAACAACUGACAGUAAUACUGCACUUCUUUAUUAGAGGUAAACUUUAAGUUGUUCUAUGGGUAAACAAGUAGCCACAUGUAGCCACAAAUUACUGCUCUCGAAAUCCUGGAGCCCCAUUGUAGACCAUCACCAAGGCCAUCAUUGCCAAGCAAAGACAUCAAGACCCAGAAUCGGUGACUGUUCUGUAUCAUCCCUAUGCAGCGUCUGUUACCCUGCAUGAAAGUAAACGCACAGACAUGCUUGCUGUUGACAGUUUGUUUUAGGUGACAAUAGGUGUGAAUAACAUUACUAAUACAUCUAGACAGAAGUAAAAAAAAAAAAAGUCACAUGUCCUCUGUGGACAUUUUAUAAGUGCAAUUUUAUAUCAAUAAAAAUGUUGCUCUUUUAAAAAAAGAAAAAAGAUCUCCUACAGGUGUUCCCAGUGGCUUAGCUCUUGGUUAGAUUAACUCCAAAGAAGUUCACAACCAGGAUUAGUCAUUAUAAUGUGCAAAACUAAUGAUUUUAUGUGACCAGAAAUUAUAGAAACAUCUCAGGUAAUUGAUUUAAAAGACUAUCAUAUGGAGCUGGAGAGUUGGCUUAAUGGUUAAGAACA